AAUUUGCAUGCUAUUCAUUGCAUUCACGUAACUUACCUUUAUUAGGCUUUAACGUAACAUUUUGGACAGAAUGUGACUGGCUGUAUUUUUUCCAUACUUCGUCUUUCGUGCCAAUGUUGACAACCGGAAAUUAUAGUCCUAAACUUGUUUGCGCAUGUUCCCGCCUCUCUCUGGCUUUCUUAUAUUUAGAUUUCUAAAUUUACAACACGGGAUUUCCUAAUCACGUAAUGGAUUCGAUCUGGACAGAACUGCCGACCGCAACUUCAACAUCGAUUUUCUACAACUUAUGAUGAAUUCAUGGCCAUUUUGAGUCUUAGUAAACGAAAUAACAAAUAAAAAAAGAUAUUUAUUUAAUCUACAAUACGAAUAAUUCUCAUAUAACUCUCAAAAAACGAAAUUUUGAAAUGAAGCCUUUGGACAGAAGUUACGUUAAAAUGAGAAGUCACUUUCAUCAAAUAAUUUUGAUGUUAAUUGCGGAAAGUUUAUCUAUUUGAGUGUUCCUACUUGUUUAUUAUAAUCAUGACAAUCUGUUUACCCCUGUUUAGGGUAGUUUUCCCCUUCAAAACAAUUUCAAAUUUAUAGAAAUAAAAUCGUUAUUGCGUAUGUCACAAUUUACACUGAAAAAGACACCAGUUGGGGCCCUUUAAACAUUUGAGCAUUUAAAACGAAUAACUUAAUGAGCUUGAAACUAUUUUUUUUAUUUCUUAAUAUCAUAAACCACACUCCUACAAACACAAAAGUUUUAAAAGAUUAUGAUAAAUGUACAAAAAUACAUUUUUAAUAUAAAUUAUACAAAAGUGCUAUGGAGUGAAUAUUGACCCUGCUGUAAUUAUCAAUUUGUCUUAUGUUUACAUCUUCAUGGCACACAUUUAGUAAAGUUGUUUGAUUGCCAGGGGGAUGUUACAUCACAUUUCAAAAGGUUAGGACUGAAAUGUGGACAGAGACGAGAUUUUACAGCCGAAAUUCUGUCGGAAGGCAAUUUAUAAUGGGUACAACUUCAAGUCAAAUCGGCACCUGGUCAAAUCGGCACCUUGUUAAAUCGGAACUAGUCAAAUCAGCACCUAUUUAAAGUCAAUUCGGCAUCCUAUAAUAUUUGAUAAAAUAAAUAUAAAUAAUUCUAAAAAUGUAUAAAUUCAUGAUCUAUUAUGGGGGUUGGAUUUUAGCUAGUCCAAAUAAUUAUGACGUCUGG
rnacentral:lncRNA from 1 species